rnacentral:rRNA from 1 species
AAUAGAUACCCUGGUAGUCCACGCCGUAAACGAUGAGUGCUAAGUGUUGGAGGGUUUCCGCCCUUCAGUGCUGCAGCUAACGCAUUAAGCACUCCGCCUGGGGAGUACGGUCGCAAGACUGAAACUCAAAGGAAUUGACGGGGGCCCGCACAAGCGGUGGAGCAUGUGGUUUAAUUCGAAGCAACGCGAAGAACCUUACCAGGUCUUGACAUCUCCUGACCGCCCUGGAGACAGGGUCUUCCCUUCGGGGACAGGAUGACAGGUGGUGCAUGGUUGUCGUCAGCUCGUGUCGUGAGAUGUUGGGUUAAGUCCCGCAACGAGCGCAACCCUUGAUUCUAGUUGCCAGCAUUUAGUUGGGCACUCUAGAGUGACUGCCGGCGAUAAGUCGGAGGAAGGUGGGGAUGACGUCAAAUCAUCAUGCCCCUUAUGACCUGGGCUACACACGUGCUACAAUGGAUGGUACAAAGGGCUGCGAAACCGCGAGGUUGAGCUAAUCCCAAAAAACCAUUCUCAGUUCGGAUUGC